GGGAUCUGCGACCUUAGGAUAGAGGCAGGGCCAGAAGGCCUUCAGAGGGCAGCACCUACUGUGAGUGGGCCGGACAACAGCACAUUAAUCCAUGUGAAGCUCACGAAGACAGUGAGCCAAGUGCUCCAAAUCUACCAGAGCCACAGAAUUUAAUUCCUUUGCAGUCUUCAAUUCAGUUCUAGGGGUCAAAGGACUUGUCUAAAUUACCCCAAAGGGACCCCUUUCAUGAAGUACAUCACUUUAACCACUGUCUGUCAAAUAAGACUAAAGACAAUCCUCAGAGAAGCUUUGCAGCCAUCAGUAUUCUUAAACUCUGGAGAUGCAAAGCUUAAUUGCCUGAGAAUUUAUGCAAGAUAAAAUUAGUGUGGGGAACCAAUGACUUGUAUCAGCUGAGAUGAAAAGAGAAUAAAUUACCCAGGGAGAAGAAGAAUCCUGCAAUAGAAACAAACAAAAAUCAUUAAACCUAGUGGGUUAUAUGUAUGGAAAAUAAUUCAAAUUGGCAAAAAAAAUUUCAAAAAAGUUGUUUCAGACAAGGUGCCUGUAAUGAAAAGUUUAACUCCCACAAACUCUACAAAUACAAUUAAAAAAAAAAAAAACACACAUGCCAACAGCAGUGCUUCACAGUGAUUGUAUAUAAACAGGGUGAUUUGCUUAGCAGCACUUAAGUCUAAUAAGAAAACUGAGCUGCUUGCUU
rnacentral:lncRNA from 1 species